rnacentral:rRNA from 1 species
CCUACGGGAGGCAGCAGUGGGGAAUAUUGGGCAAUGGGCGCAAGCCUGACCCAGCAACGCCGCGUGAAGGAAGAAGGCUUUCGGGUUGUAAACUUCUUUUCUCAGGGACGAAGAUAGUGACGGUACCUGAGGACUAAGCCACGGCUAACUACGUGCCAGCAGCCGCGGUAAUACGUAGGUGGCAAGCGUUAUCCGGAUUUACUGGGUGUAAAGGGCGUGUAGGCGGGGAAGCAAGUCAGAUGUGAAAACCACGGGCUCAACCUGUGGCCUGCAUUUGAAACUGUUUUUCUUGAGUACUGGAGAGGCAGGCGGAAUUCCUAGUGUAGCGGUGAAAUGCGUAGAUAUUAGGAGGAACACCAGUGGCGAAGGCGGUCUGCUGGACAGCAACUGACGCUGAGGCGCGAAAGCGUGGGGAGCAAACAGGAUUAGAUACCCCAGUAGUC